UACGGAGGGGGCUAGCGUUGUUCGGAAUUACUGGGCGUAAAGCGCACGUAGGCGGCUUUGUAAGUUAGAGGUGAAAGCCCAGAGCUCAACUCUGGAAACUGCCUUUAAGACUGCAUCGCUUGAAUCAUGGAGAGGUCAGUGGAAUUCCGAGUGUAGAGGUGAAAUUCGUAGAUAUUCGGAAGAACACCAGUGGCGAAGGCGAGUCCCUGGAAAAACUCCUGACACUGAGGCACGAAAAGC
rnacentral:rRNA from 1 species